rnacentral:lncRNA from 1 species
UGGACACAGGAUGCAAGCACAGUGCUCAACUGCGGUGCUCAGACAUGGGGCGUGGGCACGGUGCUGGGGCAUGGUGCUUGUCCGCGCGCCAUGAACAUGGUGUAUGGACAUGGUGCUCACCAGGGUCUGUGAACAUGGUGCUCAGUCACGGUGCUUGGUUACGGUGCUCGACCGCGACGCGUGAACAUGGUGCUCGACCGCGGUGCUUGGACACAGUGUGUGAACCUGGUGCUCAGGCAAGGGGUGUGAACAUGGUGCUCAGCCUGGUGCAUGGGGGUGCUGUGCAUGGACAGUGCACGGUGCACAACCACGGUGCAAGGGCAUGGCAUGUGGAUGCAGUGCUCCGGCACCGUGCAUGACCACGGUGCUCAGCCAUGGUGCUUAGAUGUGGUGCUCAGUCAUGGGGCUCGGGGACGGUGCUUGGGCACGGGGUACGGGCAUGGUGCAUGGACGUGGUGCUUGGGCAUGCUCCGCACAUACGGUGCUCACCCACCGUGCUCAGACACGUGCUUGGCCGUGGUGCUUGGGCAUGGUGCUUGGCACCGUGCACGGACACAGUGCUUGGCCAUGGUGCUUGGGCAUGGUGCUUGGCACCGUGCAUGGACACAGUGUUUGGCCACCCUGUGCACAAACACAAGGCAUGGUGCUCCCUCACCACGCACGGGCACGUGUUGGACCAUGGUGCUUGGGUAUGGUGCUCAUCCACUGUGCACGGGUGCGAUGUUUGGCCGUGGUGCUCAGGCACGGUGCUGGGCACGGCGCCCUGUGGCUGAGCACCGUGCCCCUCCACGGCGCUUGUGCACAGCCCCUGCUUACCCCACGGGACACCCCGGGGCACGUCCCCCGCUCAGCACCGCGCUUGGCACCGCGCUUGGCACCGCGCUCACCCCACAGCUCAUCCUCCCCUCCCCACACCACGGUGUCCGCCCCACGGCGCCGCGCAUCCCGCUUCCGCCCGGCUCUUUCUUUUCCCCCUUUUUUCCCCCCCCCCCUUUUAUUUUCCAUGUUUUGGGGUUUAUUGGUGCUACUUCCUUCCCCUUCGGCUUCCCGUCAGCGCUGGGGCAGCAGCUCCCCCCCACGCCCCCCAACCAAGGCAAAUACCUCAAACCCCCCCCAAUUCCCCGAGCGAAUCCGGGGCGAAUCUUUCCGAAAUCAGGGAUCCUUCCGCAGCGGUUUCUUCCUUAAUUAUUAUGGGUCCCCCCCCCCCCCCCCCUUUUUCCCUUUCCGCCCGGGUUUGUUCCUCAUUUUUCCGCAUCCUUCAGGGAUUUCAAACUGCCGCAAUUUCAGCCUCAUUUUUAACCC